rnacentral:rRNA from 1 species
CCUACGGGUGGCUGCAGUGGGGAAUCUUGGACAAUGGGGGCAACCCUGAUCCAGCGAUGCCGCGUGGGUGAAGAAGGCCUUCGGGUUGUAAAGCCCUUUAGGCUGGGAAGAAGAAUAUGGGAUGAAUAAUCCUGUAUUUUGACGGUACCAGCAGAAUAAGCACCGGCAAACUCUGUGCCAGCAGCCGCGGUAAUACAGAGGGUGCAAGCGUUAAUCGGAUUUACUGGGCGUAAAGGGCGCGUAGGCGGUUGUGUGAGUGUGAUGUGAAAGCCCCG